GACGCUCAGCUGUUCAUUUGCUCUAAACAUUUUACCGAAGACAGCUUUCAAAAUCUUGGACAGUUUAAAGCAGGAUUUGCCAAACUUCUUUUACUGAAACGAGGGGCUGUUCCGACCGUAAGGUCAUCACAACCGCAAGCUAGCACAUCACAAGAACAACCACGAACAAAAGUUGCAGCAUGCCAAACAGAUCCUCCUUGUGUGGAAUCUCGCGGGACGCAGCUUUCUUUUACUACAUUGAGACCUCACCAACGAAGCAAAGGCAUACAGGCAACGCCGCAAUGCCAAAGUGUGGCAGUAGGCACAACGGCUCCUUCAGUCUCUGGGCCAUUCUCUUCAACUCCUUUGAAGGGUCAGAGGCCAGCAAAGAGACCUCGCCUUGAAUUUGAGGAGGAGGUGGAAGAUGUUUCCUCUGCAUGCACUGAUCCUCAAGAUUCCACAUACGAUCCUGCACAGUCUGCUACAAUGGAGACAGAAUCAUCUCAGCUUUUGUAAGUAAAGUUACAACUCUCACAAUGCAGCAGUGCUAUUUAUAUGCA